GCUGGGCUUAGUGGGGCAUGUCUGUAAUCCCAGCUACUCAGGAGGCUGGGGCAGGAGGAUUGCAAAUUUGAGGCCAUCCUGGGCAACUUAGUGAGAACAUGUCUCAAAAUAAAAAGGAUUGGAGAUGUAGCUCAGUGGCAGAGUGCCCUGGAUUCAAUCCCCAGUCUCCC
rnacentral:sRNA from 1 species